rnacentral:rRNA from 1 species
CCUACGGGAGGCAGCAGUGGGGAAUAUUGCACAAUGGGCGAAAGCCUGAUGCAGCGACGCCGCGUGAGGGAUGACGGCCUUCGGGUUGUAAACCUCUUUCAGCAGGGAAGAAGCGAAAGUGACGGUACCUGCAGAAGAAGCGCCGGCUAACUACGUGCCAGCAGCCGCGGUAAUACGUAGGGCGCAAGCGUUGUCCGGAAUUAUUGGGCGUAAAGAGCUCGUAGGCGGCUUGUCACGUCCGAUGUGAAAGCCCGGGGCUUAACCCCGGGUCUGCAUUCGAUACGGGCUAGCUAGAGUGUGGUAGGGGAGAUCGGAAUUCCUGGUGUAGCGGUGAAAUGCGCAGAUAUCAGGAGGAACACCGGUGGCGAAGGCGGAUCUCUGGGCCAUUACUGACGCUGAGGAGCGAAAGCGUGGGGAGCGAACAGGAUUAGAUACCCUGGUAGUCCACGCCGUAAACGUUGGGAACUAGGUGUUGGCGACAUUCCACGUCGUCGGUGCCGCAGCUAACGCAUUAAGUUCCCCGCCUGGGGAGUACGGCCGCGAGGGCUAAAACCGUCGAAAACGUAAGUAGUAGGACGUUCGUAGAACGUUACGUCGACCGGAGGACCACGACGGG